UAAAUAUCCUACUAUACAUAUUUUCAAUAAUGAUCCGUAGAAAUCUUUAUCAAAUUGGUGCAAAACAUGUGUCUCCUGAAACAAGAUAAGAAAUGACAAACCACUAUUCAUUAGUUAAUUAUGAAUAUAUAAUUAUAUGACAAAGAAACUUAUUUAGAUGGCUACUUAUUGGCUUCAAAUUAUAAAAUGGAUAAUAAUCUUUUGAGAUAAUAAUAAUUUUCAUUUGUCAAGACAGACCAAACUACUUUUUAAGCAAUAGCUUUUAAAAAUUUUGGCUAUCAAUCAUGUAAAUAAGUCUCAAUUUUCAAGGUGUCUAAUAGACACCCUGAAUGAAAAGUUAUAUUAUGGGUGUGUUUGUUUCAUAAUGUUGGAUAGGACAGAUGGUUUAAUUAAAUCAAUUAAACAUUCCACAACUUUUCCUAUGGGCGGGCCUGUUAAAGAAAUACAUAGCAAUAUAUCACUUUUAAUGUAUAGUCAGUAGGUACUCAAAUUUUUAGUAUCAUUUUUCUUCACUAUUAGUAGUACAAUUAAAUUGUGGAAUUCUGUAAUUGGCUCUUUAGAAUUAAAAUUGUUAACUGUUAAUUAAGUUUUUAUAGCUAUUGAUUUUCCUAAUAAAUAAGUAGAUUAAAUAUUA